rnacentral:tRNA from 1 species
AGGUCAGUAGCUCAGUUGGUAGAGCGGCGGUCUCCAAAACCGCAAGUCGGGGGUUCGAGUCCCUCCUGACCUGCCA